rnacentral:snRNA from 1 species
AUUGCUUCUCAGCCUUUUGGCUAAGAUCUAAUGUAGUAUCUGUUCUGGUCAGCUUAAAAUAAAAUUUAGCAGAUUAAUUUUGGAUAACAUGGCAUAAGGAAGGAGUGCCCAUCAGAAUUCCAUGUGUUCCUGAACAUUUCUUACAUCUUACAACGUUACAGCCAUCUGAUU